AGUGAACGCUGGCGGUAGGCCUAACACAUGCAAGUCGAACGGCAGCACAGUAAGAGCUUGCUCUUACGGGUGGCGAGUGGCGGACGGGUGAGGAAUACAUCGGAAUCUACUUUUUCGUGGGGGAUAACGUAGGGAAACUUACGCUAAUACCGCAUACGACCUACGGGUGAAAGCAGGGGAUCUUCGGACCUUGCGCGAUUGAAUGAGCCGAUGUCGGUUUAGCUAGUUGGCGGGGUAAAGGCCCACCAAGGCGACGAUCCGUAGCUGGUCUGAGAGGAUGGUCAGCCACACUGGAACUGAGACACGGUCCAGACGCCUACGGGAGGCAGCAGUGGGGAAUAUUGGACAAUGGGCGCAAGCCUGAUCCAGCCAUACCGCGUGGGUGAAGAAGGCCUUCGGGGUGUAAAGCCCUUUUGUUGGGAAAGAAACGCAGCAGGUUAAUACCCCGCUGUUCUGACGGUACCCAAAGAAUAAGCACCGGCUAACUUCGUG
rnacentral:rRNA from 1 species